GUAGAUCUGCGUCAAUGCGAGCACCAGCAACACUUGCAGCAAUCUGAGGUUCAGUGCGUUGAGAGAUGAUCAUGGCAGCCAGAGAAGUUGAGGAGCUUGAAGAAGCAGCACCAAUUCCAACACAUCUUCCAAAAGCAAACAUGGCUAUAUGAUGACUUGUUCAAAGUUUAUUAUAUGGAGACUAUAUCUUCGCAGUUGUAAAAUCUUUGCAGGUAUGCAUGUUUUGAACUGCCAAAGUAUGUCUCUAUCAACUUGAAAGAUAUAGCUGAUGCAGGAUUUAAAGUGGGAGAAGAGGUCCCAUUGGAAUCCUUGAAGAUCAAAGGUCUGAUCAACCCAUCAGGAAGGGACAGGACGACGUCCUCUAAAGAUCUUAGACAACGGAGAACUGAGAGUAAAACUCGACUUCAAGGCCCGUGCUUUCUCUGAAUCAGCAAAACAGAAGCUCAAGGCUGCAGGUUGUUCGUUAACCAUUCUUCCGGGUGGAAAGAAGUGGGUAAAGCCAUCCGUGGCCAUGAACAUCGCCCGUGCAGAAGAAUAUUUUGCCAAGAAAAGAGCUUCAUAUGAGUCAGCUGAUUCUCCUUCUACUUGAACCUCAAUUUUCUGACCACACGAUUUUGCAAAGGCCCAAGCCCACAGCAUCUGAAACCACUCACCAUGGAUGGCUCGCCCAAAUAUGCUGUCUUGGCCCAUCCCUCGAUCCAGCCCACUCCAAGCCACCUGGCCCAUUACCCGACUCGACUCCUCUUUGAUUUUAUGUCUCUCCUCCGCAGAUGAAUUCAUAACCAUAAUAACCCGUCUCCUCGUCUCUAUCAUUCCAUCUUCUCUCUCUCGCUCUCUCUUCUCGGUUUUUUGCUCCAAUUCUUCUCUCUCUCUUACAUAAGUGUCCUGGCUCCUAUAAAUACAUCCGGUGGCUAUUCAGAUUAGUAGGACUUGAAUACGAUUAGAAAGGGGUUCUUCGUGAACCAAGUGGAAACUUGAGUGAUUUUAGUGAUUCUUUGUGAAUCAGUCGUUGUGGCGAGUUUGAUCCUUUAUAGACUGUUCUUGGUUGGCAUUGUGUCUGUGUGACUAAACUUUGUCGCUAGAUUUGGGUGUUAGCAACCGGUGUGUAUGGUUGCUAGCCUUAGUGGUUGUGGCCUUCCCGCUCCUCUUUUGGCUCCCUGAGCUGUUUAUCUCUUUUUCUGUUCUUAUUGUUGAUAUUUUCUGUAAUUAUAAUUGUUAAUAUCCAUUGUUAUAAUUUCUGUAAUAUCUAUUGUAUAAGGAGUUUUGUAACUCAUAUUUUUUCUUGUAAUAGUGAAUUAGAGCUUUGUAUUGUUUGGGCUCACGAGCAUGAAAUUUCGGGUCUUUAUUGUUGUUUUCAGCUCGCAUCUUCCUUUUAAAGA